UACGUAGGGCGCGAGCGUUGUCCGGAAUUAUUGGGCGUAAAGAGCUUGUAGGCGGUUUGUCGCGUCUGCUGUGAAAAUCCGGGCUCACCCCGGACUUGCAGUGGGUACGGGCAGACUAGAGUGUGGUAGGGGAGACUGGAAUUCCUGGUGUAGCGGUGAAAUGCGCAGAUAUCAGGAGGAACACCGAUGGCGAAGGCAGGUCUCUGGGCCACUACUGACGUGAGAAGCGAAAGCAUGGGGAGCGAACAGG
rnacentral:rRNA from 1 species